CUACGGGGUGCACCAGUGGGGAAUUUUGCGCAAUGGGGGAAACCCUGACGCAGCAAUACCGCGUGAGUGAAGAAGGCCUUUGGGUCGUAAAGCUCUUUUCUUGGGGAAGAUAGUGACGGUACCCAAGGAAUAAGCACCGGCUAACUCCGUGCCAGCAGCCGCGGUAAUACGGAGGGUGCAAGCGUUGUUCGGAUUUACUGGGCGUAAAGGGCACGUAGGCGGCACAGCAAGUUAAGGGUGAAAUCCCGGGGCUCAACUCCGGAACUGCUCUUAAAACUGCUGAGCUAGAGAUAGUCAGAGGCGGGUGGAAUUCCAGGUGUAGAGGUGAAAUUCGUAGAUAUCUGGAGGAACACCGGUGGCGAAGGCGGCCCGCUGGGGCUAUUCUGAUGCUAAGGUGCGAAAGCGUGGGGAGCAAACGGGAUUAGAUACCCGAGUAGUC
rnacentral:rRNA from 1 species